UACAGAGGGUGCGAGCGUUAAUCGGAAUUACUGGGCGUAAAGCGUGCGCAGGCGGUUUUGUAAGUCUGACGUGAAAUCCCCGGGCUUAACCUGGGAAUUGCGUUGGAGACUGCAAGGCUGGAGUCUGGCAGAGGGGGGUAGAAUUCCACGUGUAGCAGUGAAAUGCGUAGAGAUGUGGAGGAACACCGAUGGCGAAGGCAGCCCCCUGGGUCAAGACUGACGCUCACGCACGAAAGCGUGGGGAGCAAACAGG
rnacentral:rRNA from 1 species